AGAGUUUGAUCCUGGCUCAGGACGAACGCUGACGGUGUGCUUUAGGCAUGCAAGUCGAACGAGGAAGCCCUUCGGGGUGAGUAAAGUGGCGAACGGGUGAGUAACACGUGGGCAACCUGCCCCUCGCAGGGGGACAACCGGAGGAAACUCCGGCUAAUACCGCAUAAUGUGCAGCUCUGCAAAGAGCAGUACCAAAGGUAGCUUCGGCUUCCGGUCUUGGAUGAGCCCGCGGAGGAUUAGUUUGUUGGUGGGGUAAAGGCCUACCAAGACUGCGAUCCUUAGCUGGUCUGAGAGGACGAUCAGCCACACUGGAACUGAGACACGGUCCAGACUCCUACGGGAGGCAGCAGUGGGGAAUCUUGCGCAAUGGACGAAAGUCUGACGCAGCGACGCCGCGUGCGGGAGGAAGCCCUUCGGGGUGUAAACCGCUGUCACCGGGGAAGAACGGCCUUGGGGAGGAAAUGCCUUGAGGAGUGACGGUACCCGGGGAGGAAGCACCGGCUAACUCUGUGCCAGCAGCCGCGGUAAUACAGAGGGUGCGAGCGUUGUUCGGAAUUACUGGGCGUAAAGCGCGCGCAGGCGGCCGUUUAAGUCUCACCGUUCAAGCCCGGAGCUCAACUCCGGUCCGCGGGGGAUACUGGACGGCUAGGGACGUGUAGAGGCGAGCGGAAUUCCGGGUGUAGCGGUGGAAUGCGUAGAUAUCCGGAAGAACACCAGGGGCGAAGGCGGCUCGCUGGGCAUGGUCCGACGCUGAGGCGCGAAAGCGUGGGGAGCGAACAGGAUUAGAUACCCCCGUAGUCC
rnacentral:rRNA from 1 species